GAGAAAGUGAAACACAAAUUUUUAGACAUACAGGAGCUGUAAAGCUGACAAUUUUCCAAAUUCUGCUUCACGAUGUUUCUGAAGUCCUUGCUAAUCUGCCAGAUUCUGGCCGUCCUGCUGGUGGAGGACAGCAUGGGGCUGGUCUGCUUCGAAUGCAACAGGGAGAAAUGCCCGCCAGAACCCAGUUGUCUUGGAGGAAAAGUAAGGGGGGUAUGCAACUGCUGCGUCAAGUGUGCCAAGCUGAAGAACGAGCAAUGCGGAGGAAUCUACAACUUGCUUGGUGUCUGUGAUCAGGGCCUUAAGUGUGUAAGAAGAAGACCAGUCCCUUACAACAAAGAAGGAGUGUGUCAAGAAAUGUCUAUCGAGGAGCUGAAGCAGCUGAGGAAAUGAGAUAUGAAGACAUGAAUGAGGCAAGUCCGAGGGUGUGGCAGAGACCUAGAAGAUCAAUGAUUUACUGCGAGGAUACGUAUAUUGUUUUUUCUUAGCAUCUUAACAAAUGUGUCUGUGCAUUAUUGUAACCCACACAGCAGAUUAUACUGUAUACUCUCUCUUAAUAAAUCCUCCUGCAUUCUAAUGUCAUUACAGCAAUAUACUAAAUACUAUAGUACAUUAUUAUAAACUAGCCUUCUAAGGGAACCUUAAGGUCUGCUCUAUCCCUAUUAUGCUCAGUUUGUCUGACUGUAUGACUAUUGCAUGUCCUUGUAUCUCCUAAUACAAUAUUUUGCAUCCACUGUU